UAUUAUGAGAAGAUAAUGAAGCUUGCUUUAUUCUGUCAACGAACAAAGAUACGACAGAGGGAAGAGAAAGCAUUAUAGGUUUUACUCCCGUUGUGCGACAAUCUUUGGUAUUUUUUUUCGAAUUGCAAUAUCAUUAUAAUUCCAGCAUAGCAAAUUAUUUCGUACGCUCUUGUGAUCGGAUCUUGACCUGAAUGAUGCGCCUAGAUUAAUUAAUCCUGCUGUCGCACAGAAUCCGCUUAGUAUGGACGACGCGGAAGCGUACGACGAGGACGUGAACGAUCAACCGGUCGAUUACAGCAAGAAGUAUACCGAGAGAAAUGCUCCGCCGCAGAAUCAUCUGGCCGAGCCGAGUGCGCAGCAACCUCGUGCCUCGAAGAAGGAGUUCAGUGAACGCGACUCCAAGGUAGACUUGUUCGGUGACUACGCCGAGACCGAUCUGGAUCAACCCACAGAUUACAGUUUACGAUACGCCGAGGACGACACUGACGAGGAGGAGAAACAGAACGCCGAAUAUUUUCCUGUCAGUGGACAAGAGGAUACGGUCAAGACUUACUGCACAGAGGGAACUCCUUACGAGACACCCUUCAAUUUUUCCACGGCCACUUCCAUGUCGGAUCUCCGAGUCGAGGAUAUAAAGGAGAGCGAACUCCCGAAGAAGAUGUCGAAGAAGCCGAUUGAUAUCGUUAGGAAGAGUCCUGUGUCCUUUAUCAAACAACCCAAGACGCCUGACUGUGAUGAACAAGAUGGUCUAAUAACGAAAGAACUCGAAGAGGAAAAUCCAAAGAAUACUGUGGUUCUUAAUCCUGGCCAGGUGACUCCAGAGAAGAUAGUAAGUUAUUAUGAGGAGGAAACGUCGCAUGGUUUCUCACGUGCCAAUUCAUUUAGUUCCCUGAGUAGUGCAGUGACUUCUCAGAAUAACGUUCCAGGAGUUAUGUCAAAAGUAGACUCGCCAUCUUCCGUGAAUAAAGAAGAACUGGAAAAUGAUGAUCACAGUGCUGUAAAAUUGAAUAACAAUCAAGUAGAAUUGUCUUCGGGAAAUAAUAAUCUAUCUGAACGCAAGAAUAAUCCACGUGUGUUGGAUAAAGAAGGAAAAAUGGUAACAUUUAGUGGUCAAGAUUAUUAUGCAGAAGAAACUCCUUUAAUGUUUUCACGCUGUAGUUCACUUGGCUCAUUGAGUGGAUUUGAGCAACAUUCAAUUCAUGAUGAUCGUAGUUCUGUGAUCAGUGAUUUUAGUCGUAGGACCAGUGGUAUAGUUUCACCAAGUGAACUACCAGAUUCACCCACACAGACAGCUUUACCUAGUCCACGAAAUCAUAAAACUCAAAGUACAGAAUUUGUAUCAAAACUACAAGAAGAGACAGUAAGAUCAUCAGUUCGACAGCAUUUAUCAUUUUCUAAACCGCAAAUCACGAUGAGUAGUGUUUUUGAAGAUGAAGUUGCUACUUUUAAGGAAGAAUCGACACCAAUUGAAUUUUCUAGUGCAACAAGUCUGAGUUCCCUUACAAUUGAUGAUGAAGUCAAAAUAUCUAAUGAUACAAAGAUGUAUUGUAAAUUGGAAAAAGUACCUGAUGAAGAUGAGAAAGACAUCUGUAAACUCGAGACCGAUAUGCUUAAUAUGACAAUAAGCAGCUCAAAAAGUAAAGAGAAAGAGGAACAAAUAAGCGACGGCGAUGAGGAUGAUGAAGAUAUGUUGGCUGCCUGCAUUAAUAUGGGAAUGCAAACUAACAGAUAUAGACAGUCCCUGAAAGUUCAGGAAUCUACACAAUCGGAAUCGCCGAAUAUCUUAGUGUCGUAUCAAAGAAAUUCUAUACCAAAUAGAUUAGAAUCACCUGCGACUCCUGUAGAAACGCCUAUCAGUACUUUGAAAACGAAUAGAACUGCAGUGGAUAUCGUUGCUUCAGAUACCGUACACGUAUAUUGCACGGAAGAUACGCCUGCCGACAUCUCUCCGGUAGGAUCGCAAUCCAAUCUGUCCGCUCUUUCGAUGCCAAGUGUACAAGAGGAUGUGGAGAAGAUAGAACCAGACAACCAAUCAGCCGAGAUCGAUUGCCACAGAAGUGAUUUAUUCGAUGAAAGUUCCAAUCUCUCAGGCGAGGAUGAAAAAAUAUUAGAUGAAUGCAUUCAAUCAGGCAUACCUAAGGCGAGACAAAUAACUCUACCUCCAGCAAAUAGCAUCCCGUUCGUUAAAAAACCGGAAACGUUACAUAUAAUUAACAUAUACGGUACUCCGUCAUCUUCGCCUGUUGAAGCAAAUCAUGGGAAUAAGAAUCCUAUAUUAAGGCCUAAAUCGCCAGGCAAUGGAUUAUCGAGGCAUCCAGACGACUUUUCUGAUGACAGUUUGAAUCAUUCAGAUGAUGAAGCAAUUUUGACAGAAUGCAUACAGUCUGCAAUGCCAAAGACAGUUUAUUUUAGGCAAGAUUUAACAUAUCACCAUCACUCAAACAGCCAUUGUCACAAGUCACAGAAAAGCCUAGAGUAAUAAAUACAAUACAGACGCCCUCCACUUCUUCAGCAUUUCUUCAGUCAAGAUAUGUAGAGCAAAGAAAGAAUGUAAUGAAAAAACGUUUAUCUUUCGAAGAAAAUGUUGGGCUUUCUGAAGAAGAGGAAGAUAUCAUGUUGGCACAAUGUAUUAGAUCUGGGAUGCCAAAAACAUUAAGUUCCAUGCCUUCGACAGUAACAUCUACGAUAAAAAAAUCCGAGCCGUGCCCGAAAACUGCGAAGAGUUUUGGAAUCCUUCCAUCUUCCUGCUUUACAAACAAGGCUUAUUCCUCCAAAAGCGCUAUGCUACACUCACAAUUGUCGAAAUCCGUGAAUGUCAACACAGCGGACACGCGUUACAC
rnacentral:misc_RNA from 1 species